UGUACAUUGAAUGUUGUCAAAAAGUUUUAUUAGUGUCGCGCAUUUUCUGUGUUUUUCUUGCAUUUUUGCACUUUCCCCGCGAAUUUUUCCCCAAAAACUCUCAAGUAAGUCUUCCCUGGGGCCCCCGUGCGUACAAUUGAGGUGCUUCCGUGUGUAUUUUCGUGGUGAUUAAACGUGAAAUUUUUGUCUAAGAAAAUGGUGCCAUAAACUUGUUUUUUUUUCUUGUGUCCGUGCGUGCCGAGAAAAAGGGUGAAGAAGAGCGAAAAAAGCGGAGCCCCAGAAUGAACGGCAUCGUAAAGCGAUAUCAGUGAGUGUUUGAUUUGUACCGCCGCGCCAGAGAUAAGGUGGGAAAUUAAGCGAGGUGUCGAUAGUGUGGAAAUUAAUCGAAGGGGCGCGCGAUAAGGGGCCCGUUGUGUGCGUUUGUUGGCUCAUUGAAGAUGCCCCAAAGUGUGACCUGUGUGUGUUGCCUCCUCCCCUGAGAUGUUGACCCCCUCCUGGCUGUACUUCUGCACUGCUUUGCUGGCGACCUGCGCCGCCGGGAGUCACUAUGUACCUGUAAUCCUCAAUGGGUCGGCCACUGUGAGUGUCCGGCGACUCACAGAGCCAGCUCCUGUCACCGCGGAAGAGCCCCCGCGGGCGCAGAGACUCGCACGGCGUCUCGAGGAGCGCUUCAAGGAGAUCCGGGAUGAUGAGCUGGGUGUGCCGGAUGUGCAGAAGAUGUUCGAUCUGAUGGAAUUUGUGCCAUUGCCACGGGAUGACGUGGAGACGGUGAAGAGGAUGUCCCAGAAGUUGGCAAUGAAGCUGGAGAAGGCACAUUUGGUCAUCUCCAACCUCAGGGAUUUUAUUGUUAGCACAGCCCAGCAGCUCAAUCGUACCCAACUCAAUUCAGUCACCUUUCCCUGUCCCUUCCGGAAUUCCCCUACCGCCACUUCCGUACUCUACGAGAGGCAACAGAGUGACAUUGUGGACUUUAUGAAGACCCUUGAGGAUGUUAAGGACAAUGAGGAGCACUUUGAAAUGUCCCUGAUGAAGGAAUUGAAGAAAUUCAGCCACAGUUCAGCUCAUUUUCGUCGUCAAUACUUCAUGGCGGCCGCUGACAAUGCUGUCGAUCGCACCUGCCCGGACAAUCAGCAUCUCCGGCAACUCUUCACAGCAGCAAUCAGGGAUAAGAGAAUCCUCCUCCUUGUGGAUCACGGAAGUUCCCUCAAUAUGGAUCAGCUGGAACUGACAAAGGCAACGGCAAAGAGUGUCGUGAGCCUCCUUCAUGCCACAGACUCAAUCGCCGUGCUCAGCAUCUCUGACCGUGUGGGGGUGUUUGAGCCAGAACAGCGUCAACACUGCUCGGGGCAGAUGUACGCUGGCACAAUGGAUAAUCGGGGGAAGAUUGCAAAAUUCCUCGAGGGGCUCAAUAAGACAAAAGCCCAGACAAAUCAUACGUUGGGCUUUGAGCAAGCCUUCAAGCUCCUGGCUGAGAUUGAACGCUCAGAGGGUAUUAGUGGGCAGUUUAUGUUCCUCUACAUCAGUCGGGGAUUGCUGUCAUCCCUAGCGGAUGCAACGGGCGUGCUGGAGGUCAUUGCUGCUGGGCAGAAGGCACUGAAACAUCCCGUUGUCAUUAAUACCAUUCAAGUGGUGCUGGAUGAGAAGAGAAUAAUGUACGAGACGCAAUUCCUCUGCGAUAUCACCCUGCAGGACUACAGGAAACACAAAAUUGAGGGAGCAGAACCAGCAGAAGCCGGGCUAAUGCUCACAGUUAACAAGUACCGAAUGGAUGAGGUUUUUGUCAAUGUCACGGCGUUCUUUAGUCAAAUGUUCCGCGAAGGGAAUCUCACGGAGAACAUCACACUUCAUUCGCCCUACCUGGAUCCUGAUACUAAAGACAUUCUCGUGAGUUUAACGCAAACUUGCGAACGUUUUGGAGUCUUUGGCGUUGAUUUGUACCUCAAUGACUUGGCUGAGGAUGUAUUGUACUACAAUAAGUACCCAGAUAGUUAUGCCAUCAUCCUGGACAAGGAUGGGAAUGUUGUAUCGCAUCCUUUCUUCGCUGAUCGCACAUCAGCCGUUGAGAUGAUUUUUCCCACCGAUAUUGGCCACAUUGAGCCACCACCCUUCACUCCUGCCCUUCGUGAGGAGAUUCUCAGUGAGAUUUUUGGGUCGCAUGCCUUCCGGGAUGCAGCUUCCAAUGACACAGUGACGUAUACAUGGCACCACGUGAUGGAUUCAUACGUGGUGUGUAUUGUAACACGCACAGGGGCACUCAAUCGUUCCCCCGUGAGCCUCCGAAGGGUCUAUCCGGGUAUUCAUUACUACUACCAGCACAACAAUGAGGUGUCCUUUGCUGCCAUUCCGGAGAUUGUGUACCAUCGAUUGGAUCUCAUUCCACCGCCUGGGGGGAAGACAAUGUGUCGGCAUUUCAAGCAAAUUGGCACAAUGGACUGUGGGACACUCUUCCUCAGCCCCGGAGCCUUCCAGUCACCCUUCCUGUUUGUCCGGAAUAGCCGUGAGAGUAGCACAAAGGCCACAAUUCACACCAUUCAGAGCCUCAUGGCGUACAUUAGGGACAAAACGAACCUUCUGGCAAAUCCAGGGCUUUUGCCAGCGGUGCGCAAUGACGUGGCAGCUCUAACGCAUAUCAUUGGGUACCUGAAGAAGCAGCAUCUCCGCGAGGGGCCACUGAAGAACUUCAUCAUUCGCCGGUACGUUGCGUCCGUCAAUGGGGUGCUUCUCCUCUACCCAGGCACACAGGUGAGCAAUCAACUGGAAGUGACGCAGAGACCGUGGUUUGGACGUGCCAUGGCCUACCCCGGGAGGAUUGUUGUUACAGAACCCUACUUGGAUGCCGGUGGGGCAGGCUACGUCACCACCAUUGCGCACACAAUCUUCGAAGCAAGACCAAAUGCCCUCCACAGUGCACAGCGUGAUACCCCAAUUGGCGUUGUGGCGCUCGACCUCACAAUGGGCUUCCACUAUAAGCUUGUCCUGGAAUCCGGGGGCUUUUGCUCCGAGGCGAAUGUUAAGUGCUUCCUAAUGGAAGAUCGGGGCUACCUUAUUGCUCAUCCCAGUGUGUUGGAACCAGUGACGGGGAUCAAUUCAAGGCGUCCCCUUGAGCACAUAACCCACCGAGAAUCCUUCGUUGCGAAUGAUAUUCUCAAUCACAAAGAACUCGUGCAGAAGAAACUUUGCAAUGUUUACGCCAAUAGAACCAUUCAGAGAUACUACCAGUUUAACAUAUCCCUGACGGAUGUCCUGACGAAUGUGGUGCACGGAGAGAGGACAAAGUAUCAGAUAACCGUCAUUCCGGGUACAAAUAUCUUCGUUGGGGUGCUCAAUGCUUCCAACGAUGGGGGUGCUUUCUGUCCGUGCAGUACCGUCGAUCGUCUCUGUCUCAAUUGCAAUCGCAUGGAGCAGACGGAGUGUGAGUGUCCGUGUGAGUGCCCCCUGCACUAUGAGCCCCCUGGGGGCACCACAGAAGCCGCCAAAUGUGCAGCAACUUCCGUGGCGGAUGGGGAAGAUCAGAAGUUGGCAACAGAUGGUGUUUGUAUGCCCUUUAUGCCCGAAGCAGCAUCUCCUGCCACGGCACUCACGUACUCUGUGGAUGAUUUGGAGUUGCGUGCGUGCGUGAGUGCUGUGUGUGAUUUGUACGCAACGCAGACGGAAUGUUUGGGUGUUGUGGGGUGUGAAUGGUGUCAAGUGGACGUCGAUGGGGAGACAAUCUUCACACAGCCCUUCUGUACGUCAAUGCAGUCGUGCUUCAAUGGGAUUCUCGGGUCGGCUACACCCUAUGGCGAUGGGCAACUUGGCUCUGCGAUUGUGGAUCCAUUAAUUCCACCAGCUUAUUCAGCCAUUGGCCCCGUGGCGGGAGCAACGAUAGCUCUGUGCCUCGUUGUAGGCUUUGCCAUGUAUUGCUACAGGCAGAAUCAAGAUCCGGGAGGGGCUGAGCACCUCUACGGGGCAGAUUCGCAGGGAGAGAAUCAACUGGAUGUGCCAAUGGCGCGACUGAAUUUCGACGAUAUGGGUGGGCAUGAUGAUUGUGACUUUGGCAAUAGUUCCAAUCAGAAUCUCCUCCCAGCUACGGGUAUUAUGAUCCCCGAAGUGUCCCCAUAUCGUGCCCCAUCGGCAUGCAGACGCCCAAAUGCAGCAGAUUCCGAUCAUGGGUACUCCACAAUGACGCCCCAUGAGGAUUCGGAGAAUCUCUGCUUUACCCUCGCUGACCCACUGUUGACGCACAAAAGGCUCUCAAUGUCUGAUUCAGCGUCAAUCAGUACGAGUGUCUCAAGUCCCACCAAUUGUCGACCCCUUGGCGGCUUUGACAGGCAUCUCGCAGCAGCCCCCGUGGAGGGGACAACAAUCCUCCCGGCAUCGCCACAUCUUGUUCUUGCCCCCGUUACGGUGCACAGACAACUUGAGGCAACUACCUCAUGAUGCGCAAAAUGCAGCUAAAGCAUCUCUCUUGCCGUGCUUACAAGCCUUUUUUUCCCUUUCUCUUGUUGGAGAAAGGGUAGAGAUGCUAAAAAAAGAAUAAUUAAUAAUCAAAUCUUUUUGCAAGACUCGUCAUGCGAAAAAGCAAUCAUUAUUAAAAAUUGUAUCGUCGUUUUCAAUCUAAAAAAAAAUUCUUGUCGUUCGUUUAUUCUCUCUUUGUACAAGAAAAUUUCUUUCUUUUUUUGUAAUGUUCUUGUUAUAAGAAUUUUUAUGUGUAUAACCAGCCAAUGAAGAAUUUUUUUUAUUCCUUCAUCGUGCUGAAAAGUUGCAAGUUGUGUGGAGGAGAAGAGAGAUUUUUAUUAUUAAUGCGGCGUGGCACAGAGUAUUAAAAUAUUUUACAGAAAUAAAAUAUUACGGAUGAGGGGGAAGCAGGGAGAGGGCAAUAAUUCUGUGAUUUGUGGAGAUUUUUAUGAUGCAUUUUAUGCUCUAUUUGAGAGAACUUUGCACUGUGAGGGGCUCCAUCAGUUGGAGGGAAUCUAGAGGUGGAACAAAGUGCUUCCUGUUUGACUGAAUUGAAAUUCAAAAAAAAAAAGUUUUGUGGCCAAAUUUCGCUCAAUUCAAUCCAAUUCGGAGCUUCGGUGCAAAGUUAUUUUGAAUAGACAAACACGUAUUUGUAUGUACUUAAUUUUUAAUCUCUGUAAAGAAAACUACUGAACAGAUUUUUUCACAUUUUUCUUUACAUAAAAAACAAGAAUUUCAGGGAAAAUAGCAUUGAGUUGGGAGUUUGUAGUUUUGAGGGAGAAUGUAGUUUCCCAGUGACAUGGUAGAUGGCACUGGCAUGGAAAUUUUUAUAACUCAGGAUUUCCUGCCCAAUACCCACCAAGUUUGAGCCAAAUUCUGGUUGACUUUACUUAAAUAUAAAAAAGAAGGAAAGAUUUAUAAAAUUUUAAAAGAUAUUUUCAUAAAAAUUGAUCAAAAAUCAAGAAACAAUCAAAAUUAAAUUUUUGAUUACUUAAAUAAUUUAAUUUUUUCCAAACUCCUUUAAGGAAAUUCAGAUUUUGAGAAAGAAAUGAAAAAAUCUCAGUCAAUGGAAGAUUUGCUCAGCAAAAAAUUAAAAGAAAAAAAAAACAAAUUAUUUAGGAAGAAAUACUUAAAAUGGCGUAAAUUUGUAAGACAAAGCGAUAAAACAUCAAAAUGAAAGUCUUAUAAAAAUAGGAUGUCUUUUCAGCGGAUAUAUCUAAAUUAACCGAAAUUUGGGGUUAAGAACUGUCAAAAGUUCUGUCAAGAUAUUUUUUGAGCCAUUUCAACUUAGUUUUUGAAUUUUAGAAAUUGUGGUUAUCCUGAAAGAAAACUUUUAAAUGUUUUUAGGAACUUCCUCUAAUUUUUUCAAAGGCAUAAAAGGGAUAAAUUAGAGAAUUUCUUACAAAAUAUCGUUUAAAAAAAAUUAGAGGAUUUUCUGUUCCUUAAAGGCUCAAAUUAAUGAAAAUUUAAACAGUAAAUAGUAUAGAUACAAAAUAUAAUUUGUUGACGAUGAUUAAAGACUCGAGAACGUGAGUAAUUUAUAUUAAAUUGGUUAAAUACUGACCAAACUUUAAUUAAUUUUGAUUAAUAUCUUUAAAUGAAACCUAAAACAUGCUUAAAAAAUUCAUCUUUGAUCUGGAAAAUCAUAAUUUUCUCAUUAUUUCUCAAGACAAAUUGACUCAAGAAAUAAUCUUAAAUUCCCUCAAUUUUUUUUAAACCAAAACCUACCCCAUACAUCGUGAAUAACGUCCUUUUUAAAAGAAGAAGAUUUCCAACGCCAUCUACCGCACCAGUGUCCCAACUAAUCCAUCCCAUUUUACUACAAAUUCAAUAGUCAAUGAUAGAAGAAAAUAAAAUACGUAACAGAAAGAAAAUUUUUGUGUGUCACGCCGAAGGGAAAGCAAAGGACGUCCUUUUUUGUAGAAAUAUAUAAUAUUAUUAUUAUAUUUAAAUGAAUGAAAAAAGCAAUUCUUAGAAAAAUAAAUAAAUGUAUCGCUGCUUUAAGGAAAAAAAA